GAUCGACCCGAUUAAGCAACGAAC
rnacentral:siRNA from 1 species